rnacentral:rRNA from 1 species
UACAGAGGAGCCAAGCGUUGUCCGGAUUGACUGGGCGUAAAGCGCACGCAGGCGGAUGCGCGCGUGGGGUGUGAAAUCUGGCCGCUUAACGGCCAGGCGCCAUCCCAUACGGCGCGUCUGGAGUGAUGCAGAGGUCGGUGGAAUUUCCAGUGGAGCGGUGAAAUGCGUAGAGAUUGGAAAGAACACCGAUGGCGAAGGCACUUUACUGGGCUAUUACUAACACUCAGAGACGAAAGCUAGGGUAGCAAAUGGG